GACGUAGGGGGCAAGCGUUGUUCGGAAUUAUUGGGCGUAAAGCGCUCGUAGGCGGGACUGGAAGUCCGUGUUGAAAGACCUCGGCUCAACUGAGGGACCGGCUCGGAUACUCUAGUUCUUGAGGCAAUCAGAGGGUGAUGGAAUUCUUGGUGUAGCGGUGAAAUGCGUAGAUAUCAAGAGGAACACCUGAGGUGAAGACGGGUUGCUGGGCUGAUACUGACGCUGAGGCGCGAAAGCUAGGGUAGCAAACGGG
rnacentral:rRNA from 1 species